AGUCACUGACAUUAGAUACCCCGGUAGUCCAGGGUGUAAACGCUGCAGACUUGGUGUUGGGAACCCUUCGGGGGUGCUCAGUGCCGGAGAGAAGUUGUUAAGUCUGCUGCCUGGGGAGUACGGUCGCAAGGCUGAAACUUAAAGGAAUUGGCGGGGAGCACCACAAGAGGUGGAGGCUGCGGUUCAAUUGGACUCAACGCCGGAAAACUCAUCGGGAGCGACAGCAGUAUGAUUGCCAGGUUGAUGACCUUGCUUGACAAGCUG
rnacentral:rRNA from 1 species